CGAGAUCGCGCCACUGCACUCCAGCCUGUCUCAAAAAAAAAAAAAAAACAGUAGAUGCUCUCUAGAUGCCUCCCCUAAUGGAUCUCAGUCAUUUAAUUGUUUCAGGAUGCAGUAUAGCCUAGAACCAGAGGAAGUGUGCUGAUGUGUAGGAGUGUAUACAUGUCCAUGUGUGUGCAUGUGAUUGUUUCUGUUUAUGAUAGUAAAAUUCAAGGAAGUGUUGUAUGGAGUUUGAUGAGGGGCACCGUUUAGUGAGAUGUGCAUUCCAAGUAAUGUAGCAGAUGAAGGUGCUGUUGAAAGAGCCUUGUUACAGAUGAGGAGAGCAGGUAAUCAUCCCCCAUAGAGGCUGGCAGGAAGGUGGAGGGCAUCAAUAUCCGCACGCCUACGUUUUGCUUCUAUUUUUGCCAACGUUGCCAUAUCUAUUGGCUUUAAUAGGAUUCAAAUGAAAAACAAAAGCAGAAACAAGAAGGGGUGUAGAAAUCAAGGUCCCUUAUCUGUAUUCGGCUGGAUUCGAGAUGGAAAAUUUUACAGGGACGUACGCACCGCAUCACACUGGUCAAUUGCUCUAAGAUACAUCUGGGGGAAAAGCACAGUGUCCUUCGUCUCCAUGAGAGAACUUACCGGAAGCAGCAUACACAACUCUACCAAAGAAGAAGUACAGUACCCAUUUCCGUAUAAGAAUAUAUUAUUUAAAAGACAGUUUAAAAAUAAAAUUCUGUACAGCAUCAUGAAUUCCUUUUUUUUUUUUUGUAUCAGUGAACAAAAUGGUUCUUAGAAAACAUGGUCUUGUGGUGCCAGGUGCCCAGGGCAGCUCUUCCCUGCACAA
rnacentral:lncRNA from 1 species